AGUGAACGCUGGCGGCGUGCUUAACACAUGCAAGUCGAAUGAGAACGGAUUAUAGCUUGCUAAGGAUGUCAGCUAAGUGGCUGACGGGUGAGUAAUGUAUAGUUAAUUUGCCCCUUAGAGAGGGAUAACAUUUGGAAACGGAUGCUAAGACCCCUUAUUCCUUCUGUAUGUAAGUAUAGUAGGGGAAAUAUUUAUAGCUCUAGGAUCUGCCUGUACGGUAUCAGCUAGUUGGUGAGGUAAGAGCUCACCAAGGCAAUGACACCUAACUGGUUUGAGAGGAUGAUCAGUCACACUGGAACUGAGACACGGUCCAGACUCCUACGGGAGGCAGCAGUGGGGAAUAUUGCACAAUGGAGGAAACUCUGAUGCAGCAACGCCGCGUGGAGGAUGACACAUUUCGGUGCGUAAACUCUUUUUAUAUAGGAAGAUAGUGACGUUACCAUAUGAAUAAGCACCGGCUAACUCCGUGCCAGCAGCCGCGGUAAUACGGAGGGUGCAAGCGUUACUCGGAAUCACUGGGCGUAAAGAGCGUGUAGGCGGGUUAAUAAGUCAGAUGUGAAAGCCAAUGGCUCAACCAUUGAACUGCAUUUGAAACUGUUGACCUAGAAUAUGGGAGAGGUAGAUGGAAUUUCUGGUGUAGGGGUAAAAUCCGUAGAGAUCAGAAGGAAUACCGAUUGCGAAGGCGAUCUACUGGAACAUUAUUGACGCUGAGACGCGAAAGCGUGGGGAGCAAACAGGAUUAGAUACCCUGGUAGUCCACGCCCUAAACGAUGUACACUAGUUGUUGCUAUGCUAGACAUAGCAGUAAUGCAGUUAACACAUUAAGUGUACCGCCUGGGGAGUACGGUCGCAAGAUUAAAACUCAAAGGAAUAGACGGGGACCCGCACAAGCGGUGGAGCAUGUGGUUUAAUUCGACUAUACGCGAAGAACCUUACCUGGACUUGACAUAGAUAGAAUUACGCAGAGAUGUAUAAGUGCUAGCUUGCGAACUUUCAUACAGGUGCUGCACGGCUGUCGUCAGCUCGUGUCGUGAGAUGUUGGGUUAAGGCCCGCAACGAGCGCAACCCUUAUUUUUAGUUGCUAACAGUUCAGCUGAGAACUCUAAAAAGACUGCCUGGGCAACCAGGAGGAAGGUGAGGACGACGUCAAGUCAUCAUGGCCCUUAUGACCAGGGCUACACACGUGCUACAAUGGCUAGGACAAUGAGAAGCGAAACUGCGAAGUGGAGCAAAUCUAUAAACCUAGUCCCAGUUCGGAUAGCAGUCUGCAACUCGACUGCUUGAAGUUGGAAUCGCUAGUAAUCGUAGAUCAGCAAUGCUACGGUGAAUACGUUCCCGGGUCU
rnacentral:rRNA from 1 species